rnacentral:rRNA from 1 species
UACGUAGGGGGCAAGCGUUGUCCGGAAUCAUUGGGCGUAAAGAGCGUGUAGGCGGUCCGGUCAGUCGGUUGUGAAAGUCAAGGGCUCAACCCUUGAAUGCCGGCCGAUACUGCCGGGCUAGAGGGUGGUAGAGGCGAGUGGAAUUCCCGGUGUAGCGGUGAAAUGCGCAGAUAUCGGGAGGAACACCAGUAGCGAAGGCGGCUCGCUGGGCCAUUCCUGACGCUGAGACGCGAAAGCUAGGGGAGCGAACAGG